rnacentral:ncRNA from 1 species
GAAGGCUGAUGUGUGUGAGAUUACCCGCUGAAUUUAAGCAUAUAAGUAAGCGGAGGAAAAGAAACUAACUAGGAUUCCCUUAGUAAUGGCGAAUGAACAGGGAUCAGCUCAGUGCCAAAUCGGAAUCACUUGUGGUUCUGAAAUGUGGCUUGAAGGCAGUACCAGUGGCAUCGCGGACGAAAGUCUCUUGGAAAAGAGCGUCAUAGAGGGUGAGAAUCCCGUGAGUCGUUCGCCGUUUGUCACGUACGGUCUGCGUUCUAACGAGUCGCGUUCCUUGGGAUUGGAGCGUAAACGGGUGGUAAAUUUCAUCCAAAGCAAAAUAUAUACUCGAGACCGAUAGCACAAAAGUACCGUGAGGGAAAGGUGAAAAGAACUUUGAGAAGAGGGUUAAAUAGUGCCUGAAAUCGUUGAGAAGGAAGCGGAUGCCGCCGUUGCAUAUGCUGAUUGUAGGAUUGCUGCUCGCUCCUGUCUUCUGCUACUCAUUCACAGACCUGGUCGUGUUGAGCAGUUGUUUGGCAGAUGUUAGUGGUGUUUCCUACUCUCAGUCGUCAGCAUCACUGGCUGAGUGGAAAUAAUCCUUGGAUGCUAAUUGGUUCGCUAUCUGUGAAUUGGUUGCUUCCUUGCGAUACUCACUACUCGGUCAGUGAGGAAGUGCGUUUGCUGGUCAACGAGCUUUCUAACUGUCAUUACCCUGCGCUUUUCGAUUCGUCGAGUGGCCAGGAUGUGGCUUUGAGAUUGUUCGCACUUAGUAAUCGCGAUGCUGGCUUCCAACGGUUGCCUCCGGCCCGUCUUGAAACACGGACCAAGGAGUCUAACGUAUGUGCGAGUGUGUGAGUGGCAAACUUAUACGCGUAAUGAAAGUGAGGCCGUAUGGCCAUGUUGGGGUCACCAACAACCGACCUUGAUCUUCGGUGAAAGGUUUGAGUAUGAGCAUAUCCGUUAGGACCCGAAAGAUGGUGAACUAUGCCUGAGCAGGGG